AGCGGUGCACAUGUAUUUUCCUUCUUUUUUGACAUCUACAUUUUUUUUUGUUACCAAGGGCAUUUUCAAUAACAAGUUGUUACUAAUUUUUUUCUCUCUCCUCUCUUUUUUUUCAAUGGACCCACGUGCCAUUCUUUUUUUCGUUAUUGAUAUCCGUGCACAAGUUGAUACUUCUGCAUGUACUUCCUCCGUUCCACAAUACACCUCAUAAAGAAUUGUGCACUUGUACCAAAGAAGAUCUCGUUUUUAGUGUCUGACCAUUCAUAUUGGAUCAAAAUUAAAUGGAUGUGAGUAGUUAUUGGCUAUGGGCGGGAGUUAAGAGAAAAGUGAGGCGUAUUAUCAAACAAAUGAGAAAAAAUAAUACUUUCUCCGUUGGCCAACGAAGGAUGUCUCA
rnacentral:lncRNA from 1 species